GUCGCCCCUGGACCAGUUGCUUGCUCGCUCCUCCCCCAUCCCUCCCUCCCGUCCGCCAUUGGUCGUCGCCAUUUUCCAAUCCCACUAUUAUAAACUCGUUCCCCUCCCAAGAACCCGCAAAGCGCAGGCAGGCAGGCAUCUUCCUCCCCCUUCCUCCUCCUCCCCCGUCCUCCGCCGCCGCUGCUGGCUUUCCUUCCGGCGAGCGAGGAUCGUCCCUGAUCCGUCCGGGGCUCGCCCCCCGCCUCCUCCGUGCCUGGAGGUGAAAUAAGCAAAUAUUUUCCUGACGUCAAGUUUGCUACAGACUGGCCCUUCCUUGGCUGAACCGGCACACACUACCAACAUGGAAACAUACACCACGGAUGAUGCGCUUACAGCCAUGGGAUUUGGAAAAUUGCAAGGACUUGUUCUUGUUUAUGCAGGCAUGGGUUGGGUUGCAGAAGCCAUGGAGGUCAUGCUACUGUCAUUUGUUGGACCACUGAUUCGAGAGGAAUGGAAAAUCUCUGCCCAAGAUGAAAGUUUACUCUCAAGUGUAGUGUUUUUGGGCAUGUUAAUUGGAGCAUGUGGUUGGGGAUAUGUGUCUGACAAAUAUGGGCGAAGGACUGGUUUACUGCUUUCAACUCUGUUUACUACUGGAAUGGGUUUCCUAAGUGCUUUGUCUCCAAACUAUUUAUGUUUGAUGGCUCUUCGCUUUCUCGUUGGCGUAGGACUGGGUGGCAGCCAUGUGUAUUCAUCUUGGUUUUUGGAGUUUGUUCCUGCGCAAAAUCGUGGCUUUUGGAUGAUUAUUUUUUCCUUUUUUUGGACUAUUGGCACAGUCUUGGAGGCUUCACUUGCAUGGAUUGUCGUAUCAACAUUGACUUGGAGGUGGUUGCUAGCAUUGACUGCCAUCCCUUGCUUUCUCUUGCUCCCUUUCUUUGGAAUUACACCUGAAUCGCCACGCUAUCUGUGUGCGCAAAAUAGAAUAUCUGAUGCAACACUUGUCCUGGAGAGAAUCGCCGAGACAAACCAAGCAACUCUUCCUCCUGGAGUUCUCGUAUACCCUCGAGACGGUGAAGUUGAUCAUAGUACUCUUACCUCUGAGGCAGAUCAUCUUCUUCCACUCAGAGAGAAGGAAUGCACAGAUGAUGAUGUCACAAGCCCCAAAUCUGGUAGUGCUGCUGCAUUGCGCAGUCUGCUGUCACGGAAAUUGCGUAGAUCAACUCUUCUACUUUGGUUUGUUUUCUACGCAAAUUCCUUUGCUUAUUAUGGACUAGUCUUGCUGACCGCGCAACUGAGCAAUGCAAAUAAAAGCUGUGCAUCUGGGCUGAAAUAUGUGAAGAGUGAAACAGAUGCCAGCCUUUACAAAGAUACAUUUGUCACUAGUCUUGCAGAGAUUCCGGGUCUAAUUGCAUCUGCUCUUCUUGUUGAAUGGUUUGGCCGAAAAGCUACAAUGUGGUGCUUGCUCUUCACAUGCUGUGGUUUCCUUGGCCCACUUGUGUUUUAUCAGAGUGAGCUAUGGACAACUGGCCUUCUAUUUGGUGCUCGUGCUUGUGCCAUGGGUAGCUACACAGUUGUAUGUUUAUAUGCCCCAGAGGUUCGUAUCUUUUUCUCAUGGCAUGCAGUAAAUGUGUUUCUUGGUGACUUGACCAUCACAGUAUAGUGAGUUUAAUGUGUUGAAAGUACCGCCUGGUAGGCCUAUAAGUUGCAAUUUCAACAUUAUAUCCAUCGAUUUGGCUAGGUACUUAAAAUGGUAUUUUGCUUCCUGAAUAUUUGAAUUUUUUUAUGUCUGCAUUACAUUUCAUAAUGAAGAUAUAUGUAAGUAAACUGGUGCGAGUAAGACCUAAACGAAUAAAACAUACUACUGCAUCCUUCUUAUUAAUAUUAUUCAGUAAUGUUUUCUUGUCACACUGUCAUAUUAUGACCAUUGUGACUUUUUUAUGUAUUGAAUUACAUGAAGGGAGUAUCUUUAGACAGGACCUAUGCAAGGGCUUUUUGUAUCUAUGAUCUCCACAUCAAGCUCUUGCAAAGCGAUGGACUUCUCUAAGACAGAAGAGAAGCAAGCAACCGACUGAUAUAAGCACGGUCACAAGAAUAUUUUACUUGCUAGAGCAUCCACUUUUUAGUAUCAUUGAUUUGCAUUUGUUAAUUUUGAGUUUAUUAUUGGGUUUACAAGGUGUUCACCACAGAAUUUUGUGCUUCGAAAUUUCUUGAGGACCCUAGCAUCGUGUAGGUUUCUUUGGUUUAUAGGUAUACCCGACGUCGGUGCGCUCGACCGGGGUUGGAAUCGCGACCGCCAUGGGGAGAGUCGGUGGAAUUAUUUGCCCCCUUGUAGCCGUUGGGAUGCUGAGAAGCUGCCAUCAGAUGGAAGCAAUCAUUGUGUUUGAGGUGGUGUUAUUCCUUGCUGCAAUUGCCUGCAUGCUCUUCCCUUUUGAGACCAAGGGCCGCGCAAUGAACUGAUGAUGGUCAUGGUGUAAACAAGUAAAAACACUUGGACCAUAAAAUUCGUCAUGCUGCUUCGCGUGAACGUUUAUAUACAAACUGUUAUAUGUCUAGUAUUUUAGUGGACAUGACGAUGAAGAUUCCUCGAAAUUCAUUUCGGGGUUUCGGAUGUUAUUGGACAUCAUUUUGUAAAGUCCUCACUCCUUAAGACUGUAAGUAGGAGUAUGUUAUGGUAUGUAUGUAUGUAUAAAUUCUUUGAACGUGAUUAAGUGUCUGCAACAGGCAUUUCUACCA